rnacentral:tRNA from 1 species
GAGAAAGCUUGCAAGGGCUGCUAAUCCAUGCUUCCGUAUAUAACAAGACGGCUCUCUCA